UGCUCCAAAAGGAGUGUUUCUAUCACAGCACGUGUAUGUAGUCAUGCAGCCCACUGAGCCCUUAGGCAAUACUUCAGAAGUUUUGCAUUCAUCCAUUCUGACUUGCUGCCUUAUGACUGGAGAGGUACCUAGCCCUUCACUAGGAUGUCAGAGUCUCCAACUACAUCCCUCUCCACCAGUAUCAGCAGACGGUGUGGGAGUUUGUUUGUGCCGCACAUUUCAUAUGCCACUUACAAAUGCUCACUGGUUACGUCUUCUUGCCUUAGCUCUACCUGCUGAGGAACCAAGAAGAUAAAACUGUUUUUCCCGCUAUUUGAUGAUGGAGAGAAGUUUGAGAAAGAUCUGGAAAGUAGGAGACUCUGCCCGAAGCAUCAUUGGAGCGUAGCAGAGCCAGACAAUUGCAUCCAGCAAGCGCAGGCUGUUUGGCAGGGCUACCUUUCAAUCUGUGUGUGGUGUGUGACCAGUGCUUCUGACUCGGUUUCCCUUCUGAGACAGAUGCAAGCGGAAGCCAGGUCAGCUGUCUGGAGGAGGAGAGCAGCAGCGGGGGGUUUCCAUGAGGACCCUGGCUUGCUCCAUGAUGAUGAAAUUCAAUAUCACAGUUUAAAUGCUUGUCCCAAAAUAUUUCAAAAUGUGAAACACAUAUGAGCCAAAUGACAAAAAUGUUUAAAAAAAAAAAACCAAAAAACCAAAAACAAAAACAUGGGCUCUCUGUCAUCUCCCACACUGGCUGUUUCCCUGUCUGUUCAGGAAGUAAAUUAUUCAUUCUGGUCUUCCUGUCUGAUGACAGCCAGAUGGUCUAAAAGUCAGCCUUGCCUGUGUGAGAGAGAUUCUCUGUGAAGUUCAAAGUGAGUAGCCCUGGUGUUUGGAGGGUGCGGGUAAGAAAUUAGCAUUGGGGAGAAGGGUUGUUGUCCCCAGUACUAAUGACUGACAUCUAGAUACUCACAGUGUGUGCUCAACUGGGACUGGCCUACAUUAUUAAUGUUCUUACUUAAGUGGACAUGUGUAUUUCCCCCUUAAUGGUGGGCUACUCGUAAGAGCCAGAAUUGCCAAUGCUAACUAUUCUUUCUCUUCCUCCCAAGUCGUCUGGAACUAGAACAAGGCAAGCCUAUCCCUGCAACCAUCUGCUCAUAGUAGCCCUGGGGGCUUCAAGACGAUCAUGCUGUGAAUUGUAAACUUUAAGGCUUAUUCAGUGGAAUAAAACCUUCCAUGACAAGUUAAUGUCAAUGACUCAGCAGAUCAGAAUAAUUUUUAUUUUUCAUGAUCACUUACCAGACUUUUCAAAAAUGGGAACUAACAUUCUUUUUCACAAUAAAAACAUUUUUUACAGUAAAGGCCCCAACAUUAACUUCUGUUGAUGUCUCUUUUGUGCUGCACAGGGUAGUACAUUUUUUUUUAUUACUCCAUUUAGAACUUGUAAGAUGGAAUAUGAUUGUCUAGUUCUUAAAAUCACUUUUAUUGCUUAUACAAGUCUCACUAGGUAGCCCUCCCUGGAACUUGCUAUGUAGACAAGGCUAGUCUUGAACUCAAAGACCUCCCUGCGUCUGUCUCCUGAGUUCCAGGACUAAAGACAUGGCCUAGCACACCAGCAAUUGUCUUUUCUUUAUAGAAAGAGAAACGAAGGUUUGCUGAAAUAGUUUCAGCAAUUUCCCCAAAGUUGCAAAUUAUCCUCCAACUAUCACUCUCUACACAGGCUGUUGUUUUGCUAAUGAACUACAAAGAGAAGUUUGAGAAAGUGGGAACCUAGUUCCUGAAGUGGGUGUGGUUAGGAACAACCUGCUACAGGGCAGAUGCUACUGGUCUGGGCCUAGCUGCUCAGACAAAGGUCACUUUUCUGAUGGACUGGCCCCAACUGGUACAGAUAGUCACAAGAAAUAGUCCCUUGCCCUAGACAAACACAAGGUGUCGUUUGUCAUCUUCUCUAACAAGAUAGAUGCCACUGGCACCAACUAUGUUAACAAGGGGAAGGCUGGGUGCAGAGGACCAUAAACUCAGAACCAGCCAUCUGGCUUCCAGCCCAUUGCUCAAGUACAAGGAAUUGCAGCAUUAGUAUGGUAGAUAGCCUGGCCCCAGCUCUGGCCCAUUCAGGCUGCCUGACCAACAAGACCAAUGACCUCAUCCCUGGCUUCUCAGAGUGUGGGUUAUGGGCCGGCUGGAAUGGCCUUUGCUUGGAAGUCUGUUAGAAAUGGAUCUCAUGCCAGAUCUCAGGUCUAAAGAACCUCCCAGCCUCCCUUCACAAGGACCUUAGAGAAUCCACCUGCCUAGUGAGCCUGAAAUGUGUCACUGCUAAGAUAAGUGGAGUGGUUCUUCCCACUAACAGAGUCACUGCUCCAGAGAGAGCCAUUUACCCCACCCUACCAUCUCCAUGGUCCCUUGUAGUCAGCUUCGGUUAGAACCAAGACUCUUCCAGGGGUAGGAAGACAUGUUACUUCACAUAGCAGAAGAGGACACCAUUGUAUUCUGGCAACUAGUUUAUUAUCAUCACUGUUGAGAUUUCCAUGAAGCAGACUUUUUAGGGCUGAGCUCUUUUGACAGCCACAUCCUUAAUUCUCCAUCAACAGAUAUGCACAUACACCUAUGUAUGCACACACACACACACACACACACACACACACACACACAUACACAAAACCACCCACAUUGACACCCCAGUAGGAGGGAAGAGAUAAACACAAAUCUGUUGUGUGUUCACUGUGUGCCAGGCAUUCCAGCACCUGCCUUUACCUAUAGUCCAGACAGAACACAGGAGAUAAUUAGGUUAUUGUCAGCCGGCAUUCAACUGCUAGCCAAACUUCAUUAACUAGGGCCUCUGUGUGUUUAAUGGAUCUAUAACUGGUGGUUUUAAUGAUGACUCCAUUAGAGUGAUUAAAUUAAAUGAUGAGCUCCUGAAAUUUUAAGUCAUAAAAGAUUAAUUAAGUUCUACUAAUCAGCAUUUUCGUGUUUAUAAUAUCAUCUUAGAAGUCAAUUUCCAAGUAACCUCAAAUGUGUAAGAAGCAUUGUUGCCUAGCCAUUGCAUGUAUCUUACCCUAUUGUUAGUUGCUAGAGGGGAACUCUUCUUCCCAAGGGUGAUUCCCUGGAGUUGGAGAAAAUGUUACAAAUAGUGUAAUUUAAACAGUUUUCCUUCCCCACACUCUGGGAAUCCUAUCGUUCACAACAAUCCUUUCGUUUAUCAUGAAUGAAAGUUUCCCAGAGCUGGCCUUGCCUGGUCUGUGUGCUCUAGCCCUGUUGCUGGGCAGACUGACUGGAGGACUGAGAUAAGGUUCCUACUAAAUUCUCUGGUGUCUCAGCUUUAGUUCCAUGGAAUGCCAAAGUAUUGAGCUUAACAAGGCUCUCCGUCCCUUUUCCCCUCACAAUAGUAUCCUAGAGUCUCCAAUAGAAUAGUUCCAAAAAGAAGGUGUUGGCCGGGAUUCAUGCGCCAAGUCCAGGUAUCACAUGGCUUCUUGAGUCUCACUCCAUGUUUUCAGCACAGUCAAGUAUUCACCAUCUCCAUUUCCUGUGGCACCUCCCCUAGAGGUGUGGCAAAUGUCAGAUCCAGGCUCAGCCACCAGGCAGCAGGCAUGACAGAUGGGUGGCAGGCAGGUACUGGGUAGUGACCACAGAACACAGGGUCUUGUUCCAACCACACCCUGGUUUUAAAAGAGGGUCUGAGCCUCUGUGGGGAUUGCAUUGCUAAGAUUUCCUUUCAUUUUUAAAUGCCUAUCAUAUGCUUUGGAUAAUACAGAGUAUAAAAUGUUCCAAUCAUUGGAAAGUUAUAAAUCAACUAUGAUAUAGUUUAUAAAGAUAUAAACCUAUGAAAUAGGGGAGUGUGUCUACUGAAAUUUUUAAGAAAACACAAGCAGUGAUAUGAGCUUUGAAGUUAGAAAGAUUUAUUAAUAUAGUGCUCCUUACUAACUGGUAACUCUGGGCAAACACAAAUUUUCUUUUAAACUCAGACUUCAAAUAUCUGAGUAGAGUUUAGUAAUGUCUAUUUUGUAGAGUUAUUCUAAGAAUUUACUGUAAUCUCUUUGAAAAUAGUAGAUGCUAAUUAAUAAAUAUUAGCUAUGUAUUUCACAACUAGAACAAUGGUUGCUUAGAACCAAGUUGUGGGGCCAAAAGUGAUAACAGUGAAGGCAUUUUUUUCCCACAAAUUUAAUCUUACGUCAUGUUUUUAAAAUAAAUGAUAUCAACAAAAAUUGGUAAUUAUUAUUUUAAACUUAGUAAACCAAAACUAGUAAUUCUACCACAGCCACCCGUAGUUAACUUAUCUCGUUAGGUUGAUCUAUGUACUCAGUAUACUGGGACACACCGAGUUAAACAUUCUAAUUGUACGAAGUUUUGGGUCUACUCUAUUAGAUGAAUUUUGUUACUCUAUAUAAUGUGGGCAGUAGUAUUCCCUGGCCACUGCAGGCUACUACCAAUCACCAUCUGAUAAAUGCAAACACUACAGUAACUCAGGUCACACUCACUGUGUAUGAGGGUUCCAGGUAGGGGUGCAUUUAACUCCCCUCAGAAUGUGUGUGCUCAGAAUGUGUGUGCUCAGAAUGGCUUAUGUCUUUGUGUCAUCCCUCGAAGACUCUAGAGUCAGACAUAUCCAUACAAUGAGGAUAUAUAUAUAUAUAUACUACAGUCUGGGUCCUGCAGCCAACCUGCCCGGGUUCAAGAAUAAAAUAAACUAUUGAUUAGCUGUGUGACUUCUGUUUGCUAGAAAGUAGCUUACCUAUUUUUAAAAGCCUCAGUAGUUUCUUCAUCUUUCACAUCUCAGAGAGAACAGUAUCCACCUAAGAGCAUACUUGUGAGGAGUUGCCAAAAUAUGAACUAUAAAUAUUAAAUAUCAUAUCUGAGACCUGGGAAGGAUCCGACAAAUAAUAUUCAAAAAAACAAACAAACAAAAUGCAGG
rnacentral:lncRNA from 1 species